GGCUCAGCAUGAGCCCUGUUGUCCAUAUGUGCUCUUUGGCAAAAAUUUAGUAUUGGAAGCUGGAAAGGAACAAAAAGAGAAGUGGACCUUUUCCCAUUGGCAUUAAAGACUGUGGCCCAGAUUUCUGUUCCUGAUCUUUUAAUUUGGACAAAAUACAGAUGAAGACAGAUGAUUUUCAUGAACUUCUUCCUAGAUUAGCCAGGAGCGUGUUGUCCAUCUGACUGUGGUCUUCUGCCUGAGCUCUAUCUCCAGACUUUUUUGUGGUUUCAUCUGGUGGACUGAAUUAUAUCUCCUGCCCAUACAGAUUGUUUUAUAAUUCUGCCAUGUUCCAAUUGAAUCUUUUAACAAUAUGAAAAAAAAACUGUUCUUUUAAAAAUAAAG
rnacentral:lncRNA from 1 species